GCGUGAGUGAUGAAGGCCUUAGGGUUGUAAAGCUCUUUCGGCGGGGACGAUAAUGACGGUACCCGCAGAAGAAGCCCCGGCUAACUUCGUGCCAGCAGCCGCGGUAAUACGAAGGGGGCUAGCGUUGUUCGGAAUUACUGGGCGUAAAGCGCACGUAGGCGGAUGUCUAAGUCGGGGGUGAAAGCCUUGGGCUCAACCCAAGAAUUGCCUUCGAUACUGGAUAUCUUGAGACCGGGAGAGGUGAGUGGAAUUCCGAGUGUAGAGGUGAAAUUCGU
rnacentral:rRNA from 1 species